rnacentral:rRNA from 1 species
AUUGAACGCUGGCGGCAGGCUUAACACAUGCAAGUCGAACGAGUGGCGGACGGGUGAGUAAUGCUUGGGAAUCUAGCUUAUGGAGGGGGAUAACUACGGGAAACCGUAGCUAAUAGCGCGUCCCAUGGGUUGAGCCCGAUGGGGAUUAGGUAGUUUGUGAGGUAAAGGCUCACAAAGCCGUCGAUCUCUAGCUGGUCGGAGAGGAUGACCAGCCACACUGGGACUGAGACACGGCCCAGACUCCUACGGGAGGCAGCAGUGGGGAAUAUUGCGCAAUGGGGGCAACCUGACGCAGCCAUGCCGCGUGAAUGAAGAAGGCCUUCGGGUUGUAAAGUUCUUUCGGUAGCGAGGCGUUAUCUACAUAAGAAGCACCGGCUAACUCCGUGCCAGCAGCCGCGGUAAUAC